AUUGAACGCUAGCGGGAUGCCUUACACAUGCAAGUCGAACGGAGUGGCGAACGGGUGAGUAAUGUAUCGGAACGUGCCCAGUAGCGGGGGAUAAAUAAGCGAAAGCGUAGCUAAUACCGCAUACUAUUGGAGCGGCCGAUAUCGGAUUAGCUAGAUGGUGGGGUAACGGCGCACCAAGGCGACGAUCCGUAGCUGGUUGGAGAGGACGAACUGGCACACUGUGACUGAGACACGGCCCAGACUCCUACGGGAGACAGCAGUGGGGAAUUUUGGACAAUUGGGGAAACCCUGAUCCAGCCAUCCCGCGUGUGCGAUGAAGGCCUUCGGGUUGUAAAGCACUUUUGGCAGGAAAGCGGUACCUGCAGAAUAAGCACCGGCUAACGACGUGCCAGCACCGCCGGUAAUUC
rnacentral:rRNA from 1 species